CACGUAGGGUGCGAGCGUUGUCCGGAAUUAUUGGGCGUAAAGAGCUCGUAGGCGGUGUGUCGCGUCGGCCGUGAAAACCUGGGGCUUAACUCUGGGCUUGCGGUCGAUACGGGCAUCACUGGAGUUCGGCAGGGGAGACUGGAAUUCCUGGUGUAGCGGUGAAAUGCGCAGAUAUCAGGAGGAACACCGGUGGCGAAGGCGGGUCUCUGGGCCGAUACUGACGCUGAGGAGUGAAAGCGUGGGGAGCGAACAGG
rnacentral:rRNA from 1 species